UCGAUCUCGUUGAGAAAUCCAACAACAGACAAUAUGGUCGAAACACUGUCUAUGUACGUUCAUCUACGAUAACGGAACGGUAACACAUUCAAAACGAUCAGGAAAUCAGGGACGGCGCGAACGCAGUCCCAGCUAACAAAAAUUAUACGUCCGAGAUAUCCACAUUAGGGAUACUCGCAGGGGUCAACCCAAUCUGUAUGUGCAAUGAUCAGAUCUCGCCUUGGAGGAACCGCCUAAAUGAUCACGGUUUACCUCCACGCCAGGUAAGUAU